rnacentral:lncRNA from 1 species
CGGAAUAACCUAGAAGUUGACAUCAUGUUUGGUUAGCGACAUAAAGAAUGUUUCAUUCUUGUUAAUGUAGAAAGUAAUUACCGUUUGCCUAGUGAUCGAAUUUGACAAUUUUUAAUGGCCCAUUUAAUGGCCCAUCACUAGCAAGUUUAAUGACAUCAUUUACCUUUAAUGACAUCAUUUACCUUAGGCCAUUAAAUUGGGUUAUCAUUUGCCUAGUGAUCGAAUGAGCUCAAAAUCAAUAAAUUUCAAUGGCCGUAGUGAGCCGUUUGCAAGUUUAAUGGUGUAGAAAUAUCCAAAUCACGUGAAAUUUUGAUAAAAAAUUCUUUAUACUAUAUAAAACAAGAUCAAUAUCUUUGAUUUAAAAUUUUAAUGUCAUAUUAUUACAUUUUGUAAGAUUUUUAUUUUCAGCCGUUGAUUUUGAGCCCCUUUGUUCACUAGGCAAAUGAUAUCGUAAAAUCAUAAAAUUUAUUUUCUAGGUACUUCAAAUACUCUAGAUCAAGUUUAACGGAGCCGAUCAACGAUUCGAAAGUCGCAACAUCGAAAAUGAGCUGAAAGCACGGAAGGCUCCGUGCUUCCGAUAGCAUAGUAGCCUCACUCUCUCUCUCUCUCUCUCUCUCUCUAUAUAUAUAUAUAUAUAUAUCUUAAUGAGUCCAUUUAUAGUUGUCUAGCC